rnacentral:rRNA from 1 species
GGGAUUACCUCAGUAACGGCGAGUGAAGCGGUAACAGCUCAAAUUUGAAAUCUGCCGCAAGGCCGAGUUGUAAUUUGUAGAAGAUGCUUUGGGUAUGGCCCCGGUCUAAGUUCGUUGGAACACGACGUCAUAGAGGGUGAGAAUCCCGUAUGUGACUGGGUGCUUUUGCCUAUGUAAAGCUCUUUCGACGAGUCGAGUUGUUUGGGAAUGCAGCUCAAAAUGGGUGGUAUAUUUCAUCUAAAGCUAAAUAUUGGCCAGAGACCGAUAGCGCACAAGUAGAGUGAUCGAAAGAUGAAAAGCACUUUGGAAAGAGAGUUAAACAGUACGUGAAAUUGUUGAAAGGGAAGCGCUUGCAACCAGACUUGCACGUUGUUGAUCAUCCAGGCUUCUGUUUGGUGCACUCAACUGCGUUCAGGCCAGCAUCGGUUUUGGUGGUGGGAUAAAGGCCUUGGGAAUGUAGCUUCUUUCGGGGAGUGUUAUAGCCCUCGGUGCAAUGCCGCCUACUGGGACCGAGGACCGCGCUUCGGCUAGGAUGCUGGCGUAAUGGUUGUAAGCGACCCGUCUUGAAACACGGACCAAGGAGUCUAACAUCUAUGCGAGUGUUUGGGUGUCAAACCCAUACGCGUAAUUAACGUGAACGGAGGUGAGAACCCUUAAGGGUGCAUCAUCGACCGAUCCUGAUGUCUUCGGAUGGAUUUGAGUAAGAGCAUAGCUGUUGGGACCCGAAAGAUGGUGAACUAUGCCUGAAUAGGGUGAAGCCAGAGGAAACUCUGGUGGAGGCUCGCAGCGGUUCUGACGUGCAAAUCGAUCGUCAAAUUUGGGUAUAGGGGCGAAAGACUAAUCGAACAUCUA